UACGUAGGGGGCGAGCGUUGUCCGGAAUUAUUGGGCGUAAAGAGCUCGUAGGCGGUGUGUCACGUCGGCCGUGAAAACCUGCAGCUUAACUGUGGGCGUGCGGUCGAUACGGGCAUCACUGGAGUUCGGCAGGGGAGACUGGAAUUCCUGGUGUAGCGGUGAAAUGCGCAGAUAUCAGGAGGAACACCGAUGGCGAAGGCAGGUCUCUGGGCCACUACUGACGCUGAGAAGCGAAAGCGUGGGGAGCAAACAGG
rnacentral:rRNA from 1 species